AAUAAAAAAUAAUAAUGUUAGAAUAAAACAAAAAUUGUACUAUUAAGCAGUAUGAACAAAGAGAAAUCCACUAAGAUCUAAGGUGCCUAAUUUAUUUUUUAGCAUCAAAGAAAAAGAAAUCACGUUUCGUGUUUAUAUUUACAUUCUCGUUUAACUUCUUUGAGCUUUUGAAAGUUGAAAACAAAUUUAUUUCCGAGCACUGUAUCUACGUUCAUCGGUAGGAAGGGAUAAAAUAUGAAACUGUGUGAAGUUGGCCAAACGGCAGUUCUAUUAUUUACAAACGAUUUUGUAUCUGUAUUGACAUUUAUUGCUUAUACAGAUACAAAAUUGCCUAUUAGUAAAAAUUAGUUGUAGCAUAAUUACUUAUGUAAUAAGGACGUAUAAGAAUGGCGAUAAUUUUGUACUAGAAAAUUUUCGACUGCGGCCAUUGUACCACUACCGUAUUCAAUAUUGGAGUUUUGCCAGGCACUACAUUUUAAUUAGUCGCGUUAAUUAGUACAAUCUACGCCCAUGAUAGAAUUAAAUGAAUAGUUUGAAGUGAUGGAGUAUUACUAUGGGACUCCUCCCAAGGGUAUAAUUCAUCAACGAAGUUCGCUGAACGUUUAUACGAUUAUUACAAACGAGAGGCAAUUUGUUCAUCGCGUAUAAUCCAGCGUGAAAAUUCAAUCUGAGCUCAUGGUUCUUAUCCAAUUUUUUAACGUGAAUGCAGGCCGGGAGUUUUACGGAGAUCUACUCCUUUGACCUGUUCUGUAAGAGACAGUAACAUAAUGCAGAAAAGGAUGAGGAGGAAAGCAUGAAAGCGCAGGAGCGUUUAUUCCGGUUGGAAGCGCGCGGCAUCCUCUAUUUUGAAGAACGGACUAUACGAGUAUGCAUAAGCGGAAAUGGCUAGAAACGAGUCGGAAAUGACAGUGUCAACGCACGCACGUAGAAGCGUGUCGUGACGAGGAAUCUCGAUUAAAUUUUAUACAAAGGGAACAAUUGCGUAAGGUUUACCAAAACUUUUUUUUUUUU